UUUUGCAAUUGGUUGAAAACUCUAUCUUUGUAAUUGUGGUAGCUUCUUAAUGUGGAAAUUUGACUAAACUGAAACUAUUCUUCCCAGAAUCCUGCUCUCUGUAUUGCUGCAAGAUUGAGUUGGGGAAAAAAAUGUCAAGAAUUGACAGAAGACAUUAAAUAGCAACGAUUAUGUUCCAAAGAUCUCCACAGGACAAGAGCAACUUGUACACAUACAAACAGAAAGGAGAAUGCCACGUGAAGACACUGUGUCAGACAUACACCAGGGGGAAUGAGUGUGAAGACAGAGGCUAAGAUCACAGGGAUGCAGCUACCAGCCAGUGGACACCAAGGACUGCUAGAAACCUUCAGAUGCUAAAAGUCAAAUCACGGAAUCCAAUUCUCUCAGAACCUCCAGUGGGAACCAACACUGCCAACAACUUGAUUUUGGACUUUUAGCCUCCAGAACUUAAGAUAAAUGUAUUAGUCCGUUUUCAUGCUGCUGAUAAAGAAAAACCCAAGACUGGGCAAUUUACAAAGAAAGAGGUUUGUUUUGACUUACAGUUCCACGUGGUUGGGGAGGUCUCACAAUCAUGGCAGAAGGUGAGGAGGAGCAAGUCACAUCUUACAUGGAUGGUGGUAGGUAAAGAGAGAGCUUGUGCAUGGAAACUCCCAUUUUUAAAACCAUCAGAUCUCUUGAGACUCAUUCACUAUCACGAGGACAGCACAGGAAAGAUCCACCCCUAUAAUUCAAUUACCUCCCGCCAGGUCCCUCCCACAACACGUGGGAAUUCAAGAUGCAAUUUGUUUGUGGACACAGCCAAACCAUAUCAAUAAAUGGUUGUUUUAAGGCACCACAUUUGUGGUAAUUUUGUACAGCAGCCUCUGAAAAUCUAAUACAGUGUCUCCGCACUUUAUCAGUGCUAAUCAAUCACUUUGAAAUACGUAUUUUUCAUUAGGGAAUAUCAUAUGCUAACUCACUCUCCUUUGGAUAAAAACCAACUAUCAGACUGUUUAUGCCAAAACAUUUAAGUUAUAUAUAGUGUAAUAACUUCCCGUAGAGAAUUGCUCAUUAUUUCUUUCAGGAUUCCUCUUUUUCAGGAGAAGCUAAUGCCAACUCUAGAACAAGAGAGAUGGACCGUAAAGUUCAGGAUAGCCAGUCAAAGCAUUUCACCCCACAGCUGCAAUGAUGACUGCAAAGGUGUUAUAUUAGUUUUCUAUUGCUGCUCUAAUGCAUAUCACAAACUUAGUGGUUUACCACAAUAUAUAUUUAUUAUAUUACAGUUCUCAAGGUCAGAAAUGUAGAUCUAAAACCAAGGUUUAGUAGUUGAGGUUGCAUUACUUUCUGAAGGCUCUUGUGAAGAAUCUGUCUUCUUCCAUUUUUAGCUUCUAAAGGCUGCCCAUAUUCCUUGCCUCCUGGCCCUGGCUAUCUUCAAAGUGAGCAAUGGAGUUUUCUUCAUUGCAUUACUCUAAUAAUGAAUCUUCUGACACCUCCAUUCACAUUUAAGGACCCUUGUGAUUACAUUGGGAACAGCUAAAUAAUCCAGGGUACUCUUCCUAUUUUAAGGUCAGCUGCUUAGCUACUUUAAUUCCAUCCACUAUUUUAAUUCCUCUUUACUAUGUAAUGGAACAUAUUCACAGGUUUUAGAAAUAAGGAUAUGGACAUCUUUGGGAAGCCAUUAUUCUGCCUAUAACAAUUGAUUGGCCUAAAUUAGUCCAAUUAGACCUAUUCUAAGAAUGUUGAGCAGAAGACAUUGUAUCUGUACUGCUGGACAAAAAUGAGGAACUAUACAGCCCUAGAAUUUGCUGACAUCCAUCUUAGUGGUAAAAGAGGAACCAGACUUAUGAUCAAGAUAAUAAAAUUCAAAGGAUACAGAAGUGUAAAUUAAUUUUUUAGGUAAUAUCACCAAGCUACUAUAUUAAGUUUCAUUUGAAGUUCUCCUUAAUUUUAGUAUUUUCAAGUAUUUUACACAAAAAUUUGUCAUUUCCAAAGAGGCAGCUUGAGCGAGGUCUUACAAUAUGUACAAAAAGCCAUCAUAUUUGAUACAUUUGUUGUUUUUAUAGUUUCUGUCUUUAAUGUUACUGAGAUCUGUGCUCUCAUUUUUUAAGUUGGUCAUUGCUGUCAUAUAGGAAAUUAGUACUUUCUA
rnacentral:lncRNA from 10 species